UACGGGGGGGGGCAAGCGUUGUUCGGAAUUACUGGGCGUAAAGGGCUCGUAGGUGGCCAACUAAGUCAUACGUGAAAAUCCCCUCGGCUUAACCGGGGAACUGCGUCUGAUACUGGAUGGCUUGAGGUUGGGAGAGGGAUGCGGAAUUCCAGGUGUAGCGGUGAAAUGCGUAGAUAUCUGGAGGAACACCGGUGGCGAAGGCGGCAUCCUGGACCAAUUCUGACACUGAGGAGCGAAAGCCAGGGGGAGCAAACGGG
rnacentral:rRNA from 1 species